GACAGAGGAUGCAAGCGUUAUCCGGAAUGAUUGGGCGUAAAGAGCUCGUAGGCGGUCUGUCGCGUCUGCUGUGAAAACCUAGGGCUUAACUCUGGGCGUGCAGUGGGUACGGGCAGGCUAGAGUGCGGUAGGGGAGACUGGAAUUCCUGGUGUAGCGGUGAAAUGCGCAGAUAUCAGGAGGACACCGGUGGCGAAGGCGGGUCUCUGGGCCGUAACUGACGCUGAGGAGCGAAAGCGUGGGGAGCGAACAGG
rnacentral:rRNA from 1 species